rnacentral:rRNA from 1 species
CCAGCAGCCGCGGUAAUACGGAGGGUGCAAGCGUUGUCCGGAUUUAUUGGGUUUAAAGGGUGCGUAGGCGGGUCUUUAAGUCCGUGGUGAAAGCCCAUCGCUCAACGAUGGAACUGCCAUGGAUACUGGAGGCCUUGAAUUCAGUUGAGGUAGGCGGAAUUGAUGGUGUAGCGGUGAAAUGCAUAGAUACCAUCAGGAACACCGAUUGCGAAGGCAGCUUACUGGGCUUGAAUUGACGCUGAGGCACGAAAGCGUGGGGAGCGAACAGGAUUAGAUACCCUGGUAGUCCACGCCGUAAACUAUGAUUACUCGAUAUUGGCGAUACACUGUCAGUGUCUAAGCGAAAGUGAUAAGUAAUCCACCUGGGGAGUACGGUCGCAAGAUUGAAACUCAAA